AAAAAAAAAAAAAAAAAAAAAUCUCUACCCCUUGUAGGCUCACCACUUUGCUAAAUCAAAUACUGUCUUGUAUCCUUGUCCUGUGAGUCCUAAUGGCCACAUUUGGGAACAUUUCUGUGAUCUCUGCCUGGCUGUUUGAGAUGACCAUCCAUGUCUGGCACAUCGUUGCUGUGGGCUCACAGCCAUGUGGACACAUGCUCACCAUACACACACAGUUGCCAUUUCUUCAGAUGCCCUCCUUCCUCCUGUCUUUUCUACACGGAGCAUGCCUGUCAUCUCCAGAGGUAAGACCUGCCCCAUUACACACGAGAUGAUCAUCACUAACUCGGGGGGUACAGCUAGACGGAGACAUCUCGCAGUGUGUUAAUAAAGGGCCUGGUGAGGAAUAGAAAAAUGUUACCCCAGGUAAUUCUAAGAAACUGCCUGCGGUUUGCUGCAACCAGGACUGGAGGAUUACAGGAAUGAGGGCGGGAGGGUUGUACCCAUGUACUUGGCUCCGAUCUGAUGUUGCUGUGGCUGUGGUGUAGGCUGGCAGCUGUAGCUCCGAUUCGACCCCUAGCCUGAGAACCUCCAUAUGCUGUGGGUGUGCCCCUAAAAAGACAAAAAGAAAAAAAAGAAAAAACCUUAAAGGAAAUAACUUACUUUUGACGACUAUUUUCAUUCUAGAAAACAUCCUUGUGACAGUUGGCUUAGGUGUCUGUUUCUCCAGUGACUCUUACUAUAAAUUUAAGAGUAUAUUUCUGUAAGGUAGAAAAUUCCUUUGGGGUAGAAUUGAACUGUUUUCCUAUGGAAUGUGCUACACUGUGACCAACCACAUAGAAUCUUUUUUUUUUUUUUUUUUUUUAAAUAGCUGCACCUGCAGCAUAACAGCGUUCCCAGGCCAGGGAUUGAACCCUCACCUCGGCAGCAGCCCAAGUCAUUGCAGUAGGAUUCUUAAUCCACUGUGCCAUGGUAGGAACACCACCACAUAGAUUCCUGAGCACUGAGGUGUACAGGUGGCCGUAGUUUAUGGGAAGUUCCAGAAACUUUCUCUCUUUGAUUUUUAUUUAUUUUUUUUGUCAAGAAUGAACAUGCCUAUAAGAGCUAAGCUUGCAGUAUCACACUUCACCAGCAGGGAACGCUUUCUGAAACACAUUCAGUGUGAAUUCUUCUUAAGUUCCUAGCUUCUUGAUGGAAAAAGACAGUUUACAGAGACAAAGAAAGUCAAGAUUCUGGGCACCAAUUCUGUACUCUUGAAAUGCAUUUUAUCAGGCAAUGAGGUAUAUUUGUAGUUUUCUCAAAAUGUUCUUCUCAAGGCAAUAUGCCCUGUCACCACUGAGGAAGGUCAAAGGGGGUAGAUUUCUUUUUUGGGGUUUUAUUAUUUACUGAGCACCACCUCUGUGUCAGGCACAGUGCUGAGUGCUUUUCCUCAUUCACUGGCUCAAGCUUCAUCAAGUGACCGGCCUAUGUGUUAGUACUAGGACCUGGUCUUUGGGACAGAAUGGCCCACAGUGGUGCUUUACAUUAGUUUCUGAGGUUGUCUUUGCCUUGUCCUGUGUUACCUUAAAGAAUUGAUUGUAAAAAGAAAGAAAGAAGGAGUUCCCGUCCUGGCUCAGUGAAAAUGAAUCCAUGAGGAUGCAUGCAGAUUCGAUCCCUGGCCUCGCUAGGUGGUUAAGGGUCUGAUGUUGCAGUGAGCUAUGGUGUAGGUCACAGACACAGCUCGGAUCUGGCAUUGCUGUGGCUGUGGUGUAGACCGGCAGCUACAGCUCUAAUUCAACCCCUUGCCUGGGAACUUCCAUGUGCUGCCUGUGCAGCCCUAAAAAGACAAAAAGAGAGAAGGAAAAGCAUACCUCACUCCACUUAUUAAAUUGUGGCCUCCUGAUAUCCAAGAAUUAUUCUUCUGAAUUUAAACAGUGCCCAUUGUCAUGCUUGUGAUAAAUGCUUGCUGUGAGAGAACUUGUCUUUUAAAGGGGAGCAGUGGUUGUUUUUUUGAAAUGUGCUAAGAAGACCUACCUGGAAUCCCUUUUUGAUUGAGGGCAGUGAGUCAAAAAUGCUGUGUGAUUAUCAUACUAAGUGAAGUAAGCCAGACAAAGACAAAGACCUUCGGAUAUUACUUAUAUGUGGAAUCCAAAAAUGUGAUAUAAAUGACCUUAUUUACAGAACAGAAAUUGACUCACUGACAUAGAAAAAACUUACGGUUACUAAAGGGGAAAGGUGUGGGGAAAGAUAAAUUAGGAGGUUGGGAUUAACAUACACUACUACAUAAAUAAUAGGUAAACAACAAAGACCAACUGUAUAGCAUAGGGAACUAUAUUCGAUAUCUUUUUUCUUGCUCAUACCCAUGGCGUAUGGAAAUUCCAAGAUCAGAGAUUGAAUCCUGGCUGCAUCUGUGAUCUGUGCCAAAGCUGUGGCAACACCGGAUCCUUAACCCAUUGUGCCACAGCAGAAACUCUUAUAUUCAGUAUCUUAUAAUAACCCAUAAUUAGUAUAAUUAGUUAAUUAUAGAAAGUUUAUAGGUGAGCCAGUGGAAAAGAAUCUGAAAAAGAAUAUAUAUGUCUGUAUGACUGAAUCGUUGUGCUUAUACCUGAAACUAAUAUAGCACUGUAAAUCAGUGAUACUUCAAUAAGAGAAAAUAAUAAUUAAAGAAACAUUUUUUUCUUUUUAUGUCCAUACCUGCGCAUAUGAAAGUUCCUGGGCUAGAGUUCGUUUGUUUAUUUAUUUAUUUAUUUAUUUAUUUAUUAUUUUUGCUAUUUUAGGGCUGUACCCGCAGCAUAUGGAGGUUCCCAGGCUAGGGGUCGAAUCAGAGCUGUAGCCACCAGCCUACAUCAAGGUCACAGCAACGUGAGAUCUGAGCCGUAUCUUCGACCUGCACCACAGUUAACUGCAACGCUGGACCCACUGAACAAGGCCAAGGAUUGAACCCAUAUCCUCAUGGAUCCUAGUCAGGUUCACUAACUACUGAGCCACGAAGGGAACUCCUGGGCUAGGGUUUAAAUUGGAGUGGCAUCUUCGACCUACACCAUAGCUUGUGGCAACACUGGAUCUUUAACCCACUGAGCGAGGCCAGGGAUUGAACCUGCAUCCUCGCAGACACUGUGUCGGGUUCUUAACCCUCUGUGCUACAAUGGGAACUCCAAGAAAUUGGAAAAAUUAAAAAAAUGCUGAGUGGUUUUGGUUCCCUGAGAAACUGUAUUGUUUCUUUCCCUUGUGUUUGGUCUCCUGUCCCCACACUGAGACUUUAGAGACGUGGAUUCCCAUCUUUGAGACCCUGUUCCCGUACUCAGCUAGCCUUGCACAUUCCACAUUUUCAGAGGAGCAUCCUUCUGUGCUUCUUCCUUCUCUGUUUCCCCUACACUUAUUGAUAAAGCACUGGAGGAAGAUUAUGUAUGAACUCAGGAUUCUGUUAUUACUUCUGUUAUUUGUUUCCAGUUAAAAAUGAGAACUCAUUUUGGGGAGGGAGACGGAAAGGGAAAAAGUUUCUAAGUGAGCCGGUGGAAAAAGCACAUUCAUUAUCAAUGUCUUUCUCACUGAGUCGUUUGAAGCUGGGAAAAUUAGCAGCCGCUUUGAAGCUCAGAAGAUCUUUCAUCUUGGUGUGUGUGAGUGUGUGUGUGUGUUAAUAUUAAGUUGAGAUUCUUUUUCUUGCCACUUAUUUGGUUUUGCUGCUAAUAAUGAAAUUAUAAUGAGAUCCCUGAUGGGAUUAAAAAAAAAAAAAAAGAAAAAACACCUCACAUGAAUUAUCCUCUUUCCCCCUCACCCUCCUUCUGCCUUUCUGUAAAAUCUAUUCUGCAUAAUAGGUCUUUGUCUCUGGAUUUGAGGCUGAAUUGAAGGAGGCCAGGAGUCGGAAGUGCCCCAUUGUUCUUUUGGGGACUAGGAUGCUAAGUUCUGUUGGGUUGGGGAUGCUCUCUUUUCCUACAUUUCCCAGUCCUCUUCCUCCCUGGACCCCAUGACCCCCCAUCUUCAACACCCCCCAGCUUUGGGUGGGGAGGGGGUGAAGACAAGUAUUGGAUGUUUUUGCAGGCCGAAUGCUCAGUUUAUUUGAGGUGCACACACUCCCUUCCCCCCUUUUAUGUAUUUUCUAUUUAUUUUGUACUAGAAUAUAGUUGAUUUACAGUGUUGUGUCAAUUUCUGCUGUACAGCAUAGUGACCUAGUCAUACAUAUAUACACAUUCUUUUUCUCACACCAUCUUCCAUCAUGUUCCGGCUACUUGGGAGCUGGAGGAUCGCUUGAGCCCAGGAGUUCUGGGCUGCAGUGUGCAAUGCCAAUCGGGGGUAUUCACUAAGUUGGGCAUCAAUAUGAUGACCUCCCUGGAGCAGGGGGACCACCAGGUUGCCUAAGGAGAGGUGAAUAGGCCAAGGUUGGAAACGGAGCAGGUUCAAAACUCCCAUGCUGAUGGAUCCCUUCAGCCCUUUAACUUUUAAGCAUUCAUGACUGGGUCUUGUAUAAAGGGACCAAAUAUCUGUCUAGAUAUUUGGGCAGAAGUAGGGUGUUUUGAAACCCUGGGAAAAACUUGCUCAGGAUGAUAACAUUUCUUGUGGCAGUUUUCUGUCCACUUCCUGUCCCAUUGUCCCUUAAUAGUAAGGCUUUGGCAAGUGCCACUGAUUAAAGAGGGUUCAGUGCUCUGGUAGAGCCUUUCUUGUCCACAUGGGUGAGGACACAGACUUUUUGGUAGAAUGAAUCAUUAUAUAGAUGGUUCAAGGCAGAGACACACUUUCCUAAUUGCAGAAUUUCUAUCUGUAGGAAAGGCGUUGUUGCUGUCUCCUCCAGUGAGCAGUUUAAGCCUUGGAGACUCAAUUUCAGAAAAUUCUUCCCUCAUGACGCGCCAGCUGCUGUGUGCUAGUCUCAGUACUCUAGAAGAGGGAAGUGUAGACAGUGGGUAGGAUGGGCAUAACUUGUCUCUGCCUGUGGCUUGGUCAAAGGCUAUUUCCUGAAUAUCCCAUGGUUAGGUUUUUUCUGAUCAACGCUAAUGACCGGUUUCAGGGCCCCACUCCCACUCGUGAACGUAGGUCCCCCCCUUCUCCCUUCUCACCAUUAAACAGGUAUAAUAAAGCUGGGGAAUCUUUACAGUUGGUGAUUUUAUAUCAUAGAUCAAAGAUCAAAGCAGAGGAAUACACAGCAACCGUAAAAUUAACUGCUUUUUCAAUUUUACAAUGCUUUCAGUGAUGGAGAAUCUUAUAAAUUUAAUAUUAAUUAAACACUUAGCUUUUAACCUCCUCUUGCAUCUACUUUUGGCUGGUGGCUGGAAAAAAUUAAUUGGGCAUCUUAAAUCUUGUGUUACUAACGCCUUGACAGGAGGGGUUUCAAAAGCACUUAUAACUUCAGCAAAAUGCAUUUGGAGCAUUUGUCCUUCCACUCACCUAAUUGAAAAUGCCUUUUUUUUUUCCUUAAGGUAAAAUGAACCAUUUGCCAAUUUUCUUUCUUAAGGAAGUAUAACUUACAGUCCCUUUUCAUAGCCCAAGCUUUAACUCAGUCCCUUGGCACAUUAACACUUUGCAAAAUGGAAGCCGUUGAACUUCCAUUAUUAUAAACGUCUGAUUGAUUUUGGAACGUGUCGGGGCAGAUGUGUGUCUGGCAGUUUCUCAGACUGAUUGUUGGAUCACCUGCAGCCUCUGUGUGUUCAGUUCAGUGAGAGGUACCUCCUGCUUUAGCAAGUGAGGUAGGCGGUAGCCCCACCUUGGUGGUGAGUGAGCCCACACAGUGAAUCAUAGGCAGUGGCAUCUAAGAAUGGACCUCAGCAACGUGACAAAAGAGUCAGAAUAGCAGAGAAAGGAAAUGAUAUUCUACCCGAAGGAUGUCUCAAAAGCUCGGAAGCUGGUCCGUUGGACAGGUUGUUUUGGGGAAGCUCGACUAGGUUGUUGACAUUUUCUGAGCUGCAGAAGCGACCGAACGUGGUGGCCUUUGGUUGGUGGAUGGGCAUUAAUCUGUCUUUCAUUAGCCAGGUAGGCAACCCUGUCUGUGCUUCAGAAAUAACUCAUCAGGAGGCUUCCGUGUGGCACAGCAGGUUAAGGAUCUGGUGUUGCCAUAGCUGUGGCGCAGGUUCGAUCCCUGGCCUGGGACCGUACACAUGCCUCGAUGUGGGCAAAAAAAAAAAAAA
rnacentral:lncRNA from 1 species